rnacentral:rRNA from 1 species
CCUACGGGGGGCUGCAGUGGGGAAUAUUGGACAAUGGGGGGAACCCUGAUCCAGCCAUGCCGCGUGUGUGAAGAAGGCCCUCGGGUUGUAAAGCACUUUCAGUGAGGAAGAACGCCUGGUGGUGAAUACCCAUCAGGAAAGACAUCACUCACAGAAGAAGCACCGGCUAACUCCGUGCCAGAAGCCGCGGUAAUACGGAGGGUGCGAGCGUUAAUCGGAAUUACUGGGCGUAAAGCGCGCGUAGGUGGCUUGAUAAGCCGGUUGUGAAAGCCCCGGGCUCAACCUGGGAACGGCAUCCGGAACUGUCAAGCUAGAGUGCAGGAGAGGAAGGUAGAAUUCCCGGUGUAGCGGUGAAAUGCGUAGAGAUCGGGAGGAAUACCAGUGGCGAAGGCGGCCUUCUGGACUGACACUGACACUGAGGUGCGAAAGCGUGGGUAGCAAACAGGAUUAGAUACCCUUGUAGUC